rnacentral:rRNA from 1 species
AAGCGGCGGAGCAUGUGGAUUAAUUCGAUGCAACGCGAAGAACCUUACCUGGUUUGACAUAUACCGGAAAGCUGCAGAGAUGUGGCCCCCUUCGUGGUCGGUAUACAGGUGGUGCAUGGCUGUCGUCAGCUCGUGUCGUGAGAUGUGGGUUAAGUCCCGCAACGAGCGCAACCCUAUCUUAUGUUGCCAGCACGUUAUGGUGGGGACUCGUAAGAGACUGCCGGGGUCAACUCGGAGGAAGGUGGGGACGACGUCAAGUCAUCAUGCCCCUUAUGUCCAGGGCUUCACACAUGCUACAAUGGCCAGUACAGAGGGCUGCGAGACCGUGAGGUGGAGCGAAUCCCUUAAAGCUGGUCUCAGUUCGGAUCGGGGUCUGCAACUCGACCCCGUGAAGUCGGAGUCGCUAGUAAUCGCAGAUCAGCAACGCUGCGGUGAAUACGUUCCCGGGCCUU